AUCAACGGCGUUUUCUACAAAUGGGAAAGAAGGAGCUUUUGUUGACAGAAAGCUUAGCUCCUGAGCCAUGAGACCAAUUGAUUAAAUCAGUUAAGAUUUCUAAAAAGAUUGUUCUGAUUACUGUUAAAUCUUUAACUAGUGAAAAUAUGACAACAUCGUCAGCAUAAAUGAAAUGUUCUACGUGAGAAAAGGAAGAUUUAAUUGAACUGAUUUUGUGAAAUGCAAUAGAGAAUAGAAUUACUGAAAGAGAAGAAAAAGGAGGAUUCCAUUAAAGAUGGGAGCAAUUUUCGAAUUUCGGUUAUUGACGCGAACAAAGAACUUUUUAUUACUAAGGAAAGAUUUAAUGACAUUAAAGAUUUUUGAUCCAACCUUCUAACGUUUAAGUUCCGAGAGAAUGACAUGGGAGCCGAUUCUAUCAUACGCCUUUUCAUAAUCUACAUUUAAACCUUUUUGAAAUGCGAACUACUGAGGUUUAUUUAAACAGUUUUUAUCGUAAUACCAGAGUAAUCGGCGAGAAAUGAUUUUUUCAAAUACCUUUCAUAAACAGGAGAGGAGGGAAAUGGGUCUGCAAGUAGCAAUGGAAGAACUACUUUUACUUGGUUUGAGAAUUGUCAGUACUGUUGCAAUUUUCCAUUCUUGAGGGAAUACACCUUGACCCAAAAUUAAAUUAUAGAGAUCGAUGAGUCUAAGUUUGGCAGAGUAAAAGGGAGUCCCUUUAGAAGAGUGUAGGUUAUUUUGUCUGCACCAGGUGUUUUUCCACGCAUAGAAGAAAGAGUACCAUCCUUAAUAGAGAUUGGAGAAUCAACAUAAAUGGCUUCUGUGGAAGGAGACAUGUACGUGUAGGCAAAAGAAAUAUUUUUAUAUUUUAAAGUAUUAAAUACGGAAUAGAAAUGCGAGUCAUGGGAGUCAGUUGACCAAGUAGAGGCAAAAAUUUCAGCAAUACCGACAGGUUCGUGGAUAGGACCUCCUCUAGAUUGAAUGAAAGAGAUAUGUCUCCGAUAUUCUGAGGAGAUGGAGUAAUGUUUGCGGAUAUCAUCUGUCCUCUCUUCUCUUGUAUUCUUUCCAAGCUCACUAUUUCCUAAGGUAGACAGAAGAUUAUUCCAAUAAGGAAGUUUGGCAGAGGAAACUUUUGGCCUGCUUUGGGGUAUAGCUAUGUGGACUGCUUGCUUUGUGAUAAGCGAUGACAAACAAAUCUGAUGGUUUUCCAAUACGGGAACAGGCAACAUACAAUUGACCAGCAAAAUCAAGCCGCACUGGAAACUGUAGUCGUUUAAACUCAAAUGGCACAUCAGUCGGAAUCAUUGGGAUCCAACCUUUAAUUGAAGAUUGUGAGGUGGUAAUCCUGGCAAAUCCAGCGAGUUUAAAAAUUCCGGUGGAUAGUUAACUACAUCGUCUUGGUUAGUUGCCGAAUCAACUGAUUUAUAUAUCCUCGAUUCGUCUGUAAUUUGUUCUUAAAUUUUGAAAUUUAAUUCAUUUACAUCGAUGUUUUUGGCUGCCAAUAUAGCUCGUUCGCUUAACCAAUCAUGGUUUCUGUAAUUUUGAAAUACCUUCUGAAUGAGUUCUUCUUUUGAUUGAGUUAAUUGCAUCCAGUCAACAUGUCAAUAGGAAAAUUGCCAUUACAAAUGUCAAUGAGUUGUUUAGAGAAUAUGUUUCCAGAUUGGUCAUUUUGCAACUCAACACGCAUAUUCUUGCUUAAAUGAAGUACUUUGACAUAUUUCCACGAAUUGGAUGACUUUAGGCAUG